rnacentral:rRNA from 1 species
UAGGGAAUCUUCGGCAAUGGACGAAAGUCUGCCCGAGCAACGCCGCGUGAGUGAAGAAGGUUUUCGGAUCGUAAAACUCUGUUGUUAGAGAAGAACAAGGACGUUAGUAACUGAACGUCCCCUGACGGUAUCUAACCAGAAAGCCACGGCUAACUACGUGCCAGCAGCCGCGGUAAUACGUAGGUGGCAAGCGUUGUCCGGAUUUAUUGGGCGUAAAGCGAGCGCAGGCGGUUUCUUAAGUCUGAUGUGAAAGCCCCCGGCUCAACCGGGGAGGGUCAUUGGAAACUGGGUGACUUGAGUGCAGAAGAGGAGAGUGGAAUUCCAUGUGUAGCGGUGAAAUGCGUAGAUAUAUGGAGGAACACCAGUGGCGAAGGCGGCUCUCUAGUAUGUAACUGACACUGAGGCUCGAAAGCGUGGGGAGCAAACAGG